GCUGGGUGUGGUGGUGCAUGCCUGUAAUCUCAGCUUCUUGGGAGGUGAAGGCAGGAGGAUCACAAAUUCAAAGCCAGCUUCAGCAUAAAGGAAGGCACUAAGCAACUCAGUGAUACCCUGUCUCUA
rnacentral:sRNA from 1 species